ACUCCUUCUUCAAGAUUGUCAGUUAGCUCACUGAUAGAUAGUAGAUUUAUUAGAAUUUUUAACCCCUGAUGCUAGUGGAAUGUCUGGCAUUCCUGAAGGAUGUGCUAUUGAUCAUUCGCAAAUCAGUUCACCGAGAGUGCAAGAUUUCUCAAGAGGGAUUAAUUUUGAGAAACAUUCCCUUGACAGCGACAUAAUAAUUACUCCUUCUUCAAGAUUGUCAGUUAGCUCACUGAUAGAUAGUAGAUUUAUUAGAAUUUUUAACCCCUGAUGCUAGUGGAAUGUCUGGCAUUCCUGAAGGAUGUGCUAUUGAUCAUUCGCAAAUCAGUUCACCGAGAGUGCAAGAUUUCUCAAGAGGGAUUAAUUUUGAGAAACAUUCCCUUGACAGCGACAUAAUAAUUACUCCUUCUUCAAGAUUGUCAGUUAGCUCACUGAUAGAUAGUAGAUUUAUUAG